UACGAAGGAUGCAAGCGUUAUCCGGAUUCAUUGGGUUUAAAGGGAGCGUAGGCGGCCUUGUAAGUCAGUGGUGAAAUCUUCCCGCUUAACGGGAAAACUGCCAUUGAUACUGCUUGGCUAGAGUACAGAUGCUGUGGGCGGAAUAUGACAUGUAGUGGUGAAAUACAUAGAGAUGUCAUAGAACACCGAUGGCGAAGGCAGCUCACAAAACUGUAACUGACGCUGAGGCGCGAAAGUGUGGGGAUCAAACAGG
rnacentral:rRNA from 1 species